AAAAAGGGCAGGUCCUUUAUAGGACUUAGGCAGGCGUCAAGCCAAAUGCUUGAGGUGAAUCGCGAUCAAGAGAUUUGCUCUGCGUAAUUUUUAUUAGCCGACUGUAUUGGCCUUGAGGGCUGAAUCAGCGG
rnacentral:snRNA from 1 species